GGAUGUUAACUUCUCAUUUCUUGCCUUACCUUUAGAUAGGGGAUGGUUUCCUCCACUUAACCGAGGGGCGGCUUUCGUCUCCUAUUUUAGUGCAUUGUACAGUUUUGAUUUGGGGAUUGGUUUGCUAAUCUGCUUACUUUUGGGCUUAAAUUUGAGGGUUCCAAUGGCAGACCACAAAAUCAUUUUAGUUUGUUUCUGGGGUUCUUCCCUUU
rnacentral:misc_RNA from 1 species